rnacentral:ncRNA from 1 species
AGGAUGACCUAUCUCCAACGGAUCGUCCGGCACGUACCUGCCGGGAGAGGGAGCUAACG